rnacentral:rRNA from 1 species
ACAUCCAGAGAACUUAGCAGAGAUGCUUUGGUGCCUUCGGGAACUCUGAGACAGGUGCUGCAUGGCUGUCGUCAGCUCGUGUUGUGAAAUGUUGGGUUAAGUCCCGCAACGAGCGCAACCCUUAUCCUUUGUUGCCAGCGGUUCGGCCGGGAACUCAAAGGAGACUGCCGGUGAUAAACCGGAGGAAGGUGGGAUGACGUCAAGUCAUCAUGGCCCUUACGGCCAGGGCUACACACGUGCUACAAUGGCGCAUACAAAGAGAAGCGACCUCGCGAGAGCAAGCGGACCUCAUAAAGUGCGUCGUAGUCCGGAUUGGAGUCUGCAACUCGACUCCAUGAAGUCGGAAUCGCUAGUAAUCGUAGAUCAGAAUGCUACGGUGAAUACGUUCCCGGGCCUUGUACACACCGCCCGUCACACCAUGGGAGUGGGUUGCAAAAGAAGUAGGUAGCUUAACCUUCGGGAGGGCGCUUACCACUUUGUGAUUCAUGACUGGGGUGAAGUCGUAACAAGGUAAGCGUAGCGAG